UACGUAGGUGGCGAGCGUUGUCCGGCCUUACUGGGUGUAAAGGGCGUGUAGGCGGGAAGGUAAGUCAGAUGUGAAAUACCGGGGCUCAACCCCGGGGCUGCAUUUGAAACUAUCUUUCUUGAGUGCAGGAGAGGAAAGUGGAAUUCCUAGUGUAGCGGUGAAAUGCGUAGAUAUUAGGAGGAACACCAGUGGCGAAGGCGCCUUUCUGGACUGUAACUGACGCUGAGGCGCGAAAGCGUGGUGAGUGAACAGG
rnacentral:rRNA from 1 species